GUGAAAUCUCUCGCCGUCCCACUCUCCGUCAUAAACCUCCGCCAUGAAUCCUUCUCAAUUACCUCAAACCUCAAAAGUUUCUCCGCCGUACCCGACCGCUUAACGCCGGCGGGAAUGGAUUUUUGGGAUGGGCAUGAGGCGCCCGGAUUCGAAGAAAUUGUUCGGGUUCAUGGUGGAGGUGCUAGUUCUAGUUUAGAAGGUUCUAAUGAGAGUGUAGUGGAAGAGCGAGAGCCUGAUGAGGGGAAUGAAGAAAGUCAGAGUCGAUCGUACGAAAGGAAGGUUUUGCAGGAGGAACUUUCGAGGAAUGUAAUUACACUCACCUGUGAGUCUUCUGCUGAGGGAGGUAUUUGCGAUGUAUAUAUUGUUGGAAACGCUCACGUUUCUGCUGUAAAUUUUCGAGUUUUUCUUCCGUAUGUUUUAUGUAUGAUGGAUAUAGAAUUUGUAAGAGAAAACUAUAUUCAGGCUUGGAAUAUUUCUGAGAAUUUGACUUCUCCUUUUUU
rnacentral:misc_RNA from 1 species